AUGCCAAGCCUAGAGCGAUUUAAGGUUAUCAAAGAAAACAUGGAGAGAGGCUUUAGAAACACUAAUAUGAAGCCUUUGAACCAUUCCACAUACUUGAGACUGCAGCUCUUGUGUAAACGAAUCUAUGACAGUGACGAAAAGUUGUCUGUACUAAAUGAUUUGUCUCUCGAUGAUCUCAACAGCUUUAUUCCUGAAGUCCGUUCUCAGAUAUUUAUUGAGGCUCUAUG